rnacentral:sRNA from 1 species
GCCUGGCACUGUGGCACAUGCCUGUAAUCCCAGCAGCUUGGGAGGCUGAGACAGGAGGAUUGCAAGUUCAAAGCCAGCCUCCACAAGAUCAAGGUGGUAAGCAACUCGGUGAGACCCUGUCUCUA